rnacentral:rRNA from 1 species
GACGAACGCUGGCGGCGUGCUUAACACAUGCAAGUCGAACGGAAAGGCCCUGCUUUUGUGGGGUGCUCGAGUGGCGAACGGGUGAGUAACACGUGAGUAACCUGCCCUUGACUUUGGGAUAACUUCAGGAAACUGGGGCUAAUACCGGAUAGGAGCUCCUGCUGCAUGGUGGGGGUUGGAAAGUUUCGGCGGUUGGGGAUGGACUCGCGGCUUAUCAGCUUGUUGGUGGGGUAGUGGCUUACCAAGGCUUUGACGGGUAGCCGGCCUGAGAGGGUGAACGGCCACAUUGGGACUGAGAUACGGCCCAGACUCCUACGGGAGGCAGCAGUGGGGAAUAUUGCACAAUGGGCGGACGCCUGAUGCAGCAACGCCGCGUGCGGGAUGACGGCCUUCGGGUUGUAAACCGCUUUCGCCUGUGACGAAGCGUGAGUGACGGUAAUGGGUAAAGAAGCACCGGCUAACUACGUG